rnacentral:rRNA from 1 species
GGGAUUGCCUUAGUAACGGCGAGUGAAGCGGCAACAGCUCAAAUUUGAAAGCUGGCCCUUUUAGGGUCCGCGUUGUAAUUUGUAGAGGAUGAUUCGGCGAGGGCUCCUGCCUAAGUCCCCUGGAACGGGGCGUCAUAGAGGGUGAGAAUCCCGUAUGCGGUAGGUUGCCUUAGCCAUGUGAAUCUCCUUCGACGAGUCGAGUUGUUUGGGAAUGCAGCUCUAAAUGGGAGGUAAAUUUCUUCUAAAGCUAAAUACUGGCCAGAGACCGAUAGCGCACAAGUAGAGUGAUCGAAAGAUGAAAAGCACUUUGGAAAGAGAGUUAAAAAGUACGUGAAAUUGUUGAAAGGGAAGCGCUUGCAACCAGACUUGUCCGCAGUUGCUCAGCCGGUCUCCUGACCGGCGUACUCUUCUGCGGCCAGGCCAGCAUCAGUUCGGGCGGUCGGAUAAAGGCCUCGGGAAUGUAGCUCCUCUCGGGGAGUGUUAUAGCCCGGGGUGGAAUGCGACCAGCCUGGACUGAGGAUCUCGCUUCGGCAAGGAUGCUGGCGUAAUGGUUGUAAGCGGCCCGUCUUGAAACACGGACCAAGGAGUCUAACAUCUAUGCGAGUGUUCGGGUGUCAAACCCGUACGCGUAAUGAAAGUGAACGGAGGUGGGAACCCGCAAGGGUGCACCAUCGGCCGAUCCUGAUGUCUUCGGAUGGAUUUGAGCAAGAGCAUAGCUGUUGGGACCCGAAAGAUGGUGAACUAUGCCUGAAUAGGGUGAAGCCAGAGGAAACUCUGGUGGAGGCUCGCAGCGGGUUCUGACGUGCAAAUCGAUCGUCAAAUUUGGGU